rfam:Triticum aestivum genome assembly, contig: Triticum_aestivum_CS42_TGACv1_scaffold_157883_2DL
UUAAUACUCCCUCCCUCUGGAAAUACUUGUCCUAGAAAUGGAUGUAUCUAGACUUAUUUUAGUUAUAAAUACAUCCAAUUUAUCCAUUUCGAGAACAAAUAUUUCCGGGAGGAGGGAGUGCCUA